UGAUAGACAAGACACUCGGGGAGUAUCCUCUAUAUUAUUAAACAUUUAAUUAUUUAAUAAAUCCAGAAAAAGUAAUGUUUCUUUCUUUUUUUUCUUCAGCCACGACAUGACGAGCAAGACAGCAUAUAUCUUCACAAGACAUCGGACAACCAAAUUACCUUUUUACCAGAUCAAAUAUUGUGAAAGAUAUUGUGGAAUGUUAUUCUAAGUGAAGGCGACCAUCAGUAUCAAAACCUUUCUCUGGUGUGCCAGAAAUGGAACAAAGUGUGUUCAAGUGGCAGUUUUCAGAAGAUGUGCCAUGUGAGUUGGCUUUAUAGCUUAAGACCACCAUCAUUUUGGGAAAAAGAACACAAUAUUAAAUUUCUCAAUACAUUUCAAGUCUUGAACUGGCUAGAAUGCGGAACUCGAUUCAAGUCCGAGGGUCCAGGAUUCUUUGGAGGACGUGGUGUUGCUGGACAUUAUAUAGGAUGGUAUGAAGAGCUCGAAUUUCAUGGUUAUUGUGGGAAGUUCUGCCAGAGGUAUAGAGAUAAUACCGUCCUACGGAAUUUAGAUGACAUUCGUGAAAACAUGGACCGAUCAUAUUAUCAACCAUAUUAGACAAGGUUAAGUUAGUCCUCGUUUGAUUCCCAUACCACAGCACAACCUUUGGUUGGUUGUGUCACAAACUCAUUAGCUUUACUUAUCAGUGUGUUUCUUGUUAUGUUCACAUCUAUGUAUUUCUGUGACCUACCAUAGCACAUUCAGUCAUAUCUCAUGGAAAAAGUGAUAUAAUUGACAUAAUAAAAUAUUUUACACUGCCUUAUUACUAAGGUCAGUGCCUUUAAUAUCCCAUAAAAUGAUGAUGAUGAUCACGGUGGGGUGAUUGUGAUGAUGCAUGACAAGAUGAUCAAAAUGAUUAUGAGGCUAAUAAUGCUGAUGGUGACAUUGAUAGUGCUACUUUAGCGUCAAACAAUUACAUUGGAAGUGCUACUUUACUAUUUAAUUCACCCAGUAAUGUAGCAGAUAUACAAAUAUUUAUAUUCUAAGCAAGAAAAUGUAAGGCAAUUAUAAUUUUUAUAAUUAAAAAAGUUAUAUUGAAUUAAAACAUGUUAAAAUGGUGUAAAAUUUUGGAUAGUCCCUUUAAUUCCCUUUAUAAUGUGCUAUUCUAAUGAAGACUAUUCUACACAAAUAUUUAUAUCUGAUCUAUAUAUAUAUAUAUAUUAACACUCAGUGGUCAUUCAUAUUUGUCAUAUUUUCUCAGAAAUAUUCUGCUAUAGUGUAACAUAUACUAAUUGGAUGAUUUGACCAUUACAAACCAAUGACCUUGUUUGUACUAAAUAUGACAUCAGUAGGACUUGGCAAACACAAAAUGAUGUCACGUAAUUUAUAGAAUGAGUUUAUGGCUUUUUGUUUUUAGUGUUAAACUUGUAAUGAAAUGUGUGGGGGUUUUGUUGGGUUUUUUUUUUUU